rnacentral:rRNA from 1 species
AUUGAACGCUGGCGGCAGGCCUAACACAUGCAAGUCGAACGAGUGGCGGACGGGUGAGUAAUGUCUGGGAAACUGCCCGAUGGAGGGGGAUAACUACUGGAAACGGUAGCUAAUACCGCAUACCAUCGGAUGUGCCCAGAUGGGAUUAGCUAGUAGGUGGGGUAACGGCUCACCUAGGCGACGAUCCCUAGCUGGUCUGAGAGGAUGACCAGCCAAACUGGAACUGAGACACGUUCCAGCCUCCUACGGGAGGCAGCAGUGGGGAAUAUGGCACAAUGGGCGCAAGCCUGAUGCAGCCAUGCCGCGUGUAGGAAGAAGGCCUUCGGGCUGUAAAGUACUUUCAGCGAGGAGGCGUUACUCGCAGAAGAAGCACCGGCUAACUACGUGCCAGCAGCCGCGGUAAUUC